AACGAACGCUGGCGGCGUGCCUAACACAUGCAAGUCGUGCGAGAAAGUUCCUUCGGGAGCGAGUAAAGCGGCGCACGGGCGAGUAACACGUAGGUAACCUGCCCCCCAGUCUGGAACAACUAGAGGAAACUCUAGCUAAUGCCGGAUGAGACCACGAUCCCUUCGGGGGUUGCGGCCAAAGAUGGCCUCUACUUGUAAGCUAUCGCUGAGGGAUGGGCCUGCGGGCCAUUAGCUUGUUGGUGAGGUAACGGGCUCACCAAGGCUGUGAUGGCUAGCUGGUCUGAGAGGAUGACCAGCCACACUGGGACUGAGACACGGCCCAGACUCCUACGGGAGGCAGCAGUGGGGAAUAUUGCGCAAUGGGCGAAAGCCUGACGCAGCGACGCCGCGUGGUGAUGAAGGCUCGGUCGUAAG
rnacentral:rRNA from 1 species